ensembl:rRNA 5S_rRNA 5S ribosomal RNA
UACUCUAGCCAUAUCACCCUGCAGCUCAAGACUGGUUACUCACAGAAGCUAAGCAAGGCUGAGCCUGGUCAGUACCUGGAUGUGAGACCACAUGGGAAAACUAGGUUGCUGUUGGAA